rnacentral:rRNA from 1 species
UACGUAGGGUGCGAGCGUUAAUCGGAAUUACUGGGCGUAAAGCGUGCGCAGGCGGUUGGUUAAGUCUGAUGUGAAAGCCCCGGGCUCAACCUGGGAAUGGCAUUGGAAACUGGCCAGCUGGAGUGUGGCAGAGGGGGGGUGGAAUUCCGCGUGUAGCAGUGAAAUGCGUAGAGAUGUGGAGGAACACCGAUGGCGAAGGCAGCCUCCUGGGCCAACACUGACGCUCAUGCACGAAAGCGUGGGGAGCAAACAGG